GUCGAAAUAGCUCAGUGGGGAGAGCGUUAGACCGGAAAUCCAAAGGUCUUUGGUUCGAUCCCGGGUUUCGGUA